AAUCUUCCUCGUUCGUCCUUUCGUUUUCCUGACCACGGUGAUGACAAGCAGCUCUCAUGCUCAGGAUUGCCAUCUGUUGAUGAAUACCACUCUGAGGCACUCUCACGAGCGAAGGUGUUUGAAAAUCCAUGUCGGAAUGAUGGUCAUGUUGGCCUAAAGGUGCAUUACAUUGCCGAUACUCGCCACCUCCACCCUGGAACAUGUUCAAUUUCUGUUUCUCGUAUGGAAGGACCGAACAGGUUGUUUUCCUGUCUCAGUGGACCACUCAAGACUGAACAGCACUGAUUGAAGAAGAUUUGCCGUGAAUCUCGUUCACAUAAUCAGCCUGUUUAAUUGCUGUACUGAGGUGACUGCUUCAUAACAAUGACCAUGCAGCAUUAAUUUUGGAUAGUAUUGCAGUGCCCCUAAAAUUGGAGAAUAUCGAAUUUCUCUGAUAGCAUUGUGAUUCAUUUGUGAAUAAACAUCACUACUCUUUUUGAGUAGCAUAGCAAUGACAGAGUUGGUUUAAUGUAUGACAAAAUGGAGCCGCUUUUUAA